rnacentral:rRNA from 1 species
GACGUAGGGGGCAAGCGUUGUCCGGAAUCAUUGGGCGUAAAGCGCGCGUAGGCGGCCCGGUAAGUCCGUUGUGAAAGUCAAAGGCUCAACCUUUGAACGCCGAUGGAUACUGCCGGGCUAGAGUGCGGAAGAGGCAACCGGAAUUCCCAGUGUAGCGGUGAAAUGCGUAGAUAUUGGGAAGAACACCGGAGGCGAAGGCGGGUUGCUGGGCCGACACUGACGCUGAGGCGCGAAAGCCAGGGGAGCAAACGGG